rnacentral:rRNA from 1 species
ACCUUGUUGGUGGGGUAGCGGCCUACCAAGGCGAUUACGGGUAGCCGGCCUGAGAGGGCGACCGGCCACACUGGGACUGAGACACGGCCCAGACUCCUGCGGGAGGCAGCAGUGGGGAAUAUUGCGCAAUGGGCGAAAGCCUGACGCAGCGACGCCGCGUGGGGGAUGACGGCCUUCGGGUUGUAAACCUCUUUUACCACCAACGCAGGCUCCGGGUUCUCUCGGGGUUGACGGUAGGUGGGGAAUAAGGACCGGCUAACUACGUGCCAGCAGCCGCGGUAAUACGUAGGGUCCGAGCGUUGUCCGGAAUUAUUGGGCGUAAAGAGCUCGUAGGCGGCGUGUCGCGUCUGCUGUGAAAGACCGGGGCUUAACUCCGGUUCUGCAGUGGAUACGGGCAUGCUAGAGGUAGGUAGGGGAGACUGGAAUUCCUGGUGUAGCGGUGAAAUGCGCAGAUAUCAGGAGGAACACCGGUGGCGAAGGCGGGUCUCUGGGCCUUACCUGACGCUGAGGAGCGAAAGCAUGGGGAGCGAACAGGAUUAGAUACCCUGGUAGUCCAUGCCGUAAACGUUGGGCGCUAGGUGUGGGGACUCCACGGUCCGCGCCGAGAAGGCCCGACCACAA